rnacentral:tRNA from 1 species
GGCUCGCCCGGGCCUUGGUCGCGGCGGUCGCGGCCUUGCGGCGGCCGGACGCGGGGGCGGCGGGCGCCUCCUCGGCGGGGGCGGCGGGCUU